rnacentral:lncRNA from 1 species
CUCAACAUCUAUCUCUCUCUCUAUGUUCUCUAUCUUCCUCAACUAAACUGGGUCAGAUUUACUGGUUAGUAAAAAAGUAUGUGGUGAGUUCAACUGAUUUGGGAGUGGCGUAGGGAAAGUCUAAACUUACAAAGUUUUUUUCUUAAUGUGAUGAUUUAGAGGAGCGUUGGAGCUGUAUAGGUUUUGAGGUCACUAGAUGCAACGGCGGAUGAUUAAUUACGACGGCUUUACGAUAGUUUUAGAAGGAAGGCCAGCAGCCGAUUAUCUCCUUCACCUAUUCAUCUGGCUUCGAUCUCCAUUAUUCCCAAUUUUUCUUAGAAAGUAAUUUAUCUCUCACUUUCUUUUUUUAUUUUAAUUUCAACUGUUGGAUUGUCAAUUUGUCUCUGAACAGUUUGAUUUUAUGAUUUGUUUGUUCCAAUCAAAUGAAGAAUAACAUAAAUUAAAUACGAUACAUGAAUUAAGAGGUAGUAACUAAUUAAGUUGCGUGGAUUGGUUUUGACAGAAAGGAGAAGCUAAUGGCAUUGGGAUCAAGAAAUUUCUUUCCAUGACUAAAGGGGUCAGCCUUCAUGGCAUUGUGGUGGUGAGAUGAUGAUUUUUUUUAGUGGUGUUGACGGUGGCGGGCGAAAUGGGUCUGAUGAAGAAUGGUUGUGACCAAUUGUUGGGUAAUCGUUACCAAUAAAAUGAAUAUAUUGUGAUCAUUAAUAAAUAAUACGUGACCUAAAAAUGUAUGAUUUGUGAUUAAAUUUAUAAUG